UGGGUACCAUCAAAUCAGAUUUGGAUUGAAUCAAACUGGAAUUCUUGCAAAACAUCUUAUCCUUGCACACACCCUAGUUUCCAUUAUCCUUGUGCACGCCCUAGUUUCCAUGCUAAAACAUCUUAUGCAAAAGUGUUUGGCAUGAGGAAUUCUUGCAUGAAAGAGGGGGGCACAAAAAGUUGGACGGUAUCUUAUGUGAUGAGUUAUCAUCCUUAUCUCUUAACAAAUU
rnacentral:lncRNA from 1 species